AUUGAACGCUGGCGGCAGGCUUAACACAUGCAAGUCGAGCGAGCGGCGGACGGGUGAGUAAUGUCUGGGAAACUGCCUGAUGGAGGGGGAUAACUACUGGAAACGGUAGCUAAUACCGCAUACCAUCAGAUGUGCCCAGAUGGGAUUAGCUAGUAGGUGGGGUAAUGGCUCACCUAGGCGACGAUCCCUAGCUGGUCUGAGAGGAUGACCGGCCACACAGGAACUGAGAGACGGUCCAGACUCCCACAGGAGGCAGCAGUGGGGAAUAUUGGACAAUGGGCGCAAGCCUGAUGCAGCCAUGCCGCGUGUGUGCAGAGGGCCUUCAGGUUUUCAAGCACUUUCAGCGAGGAGGCGUUACUCGCAGAAGAAGCGCCGGCUAACUCCGUGCCAGCAGCCGCGGUAAUUC
rnacentral:rRNA from 1 species